rnacentral:rRNA from 1 species
GAUGAACGCUGGCGGCGUGCUUAACACAUGCAAGUCGAGCGGAGCGGCGAACGGGUGAGUAUAGCGUGAGUAACUUCCCCCCUCCUUGGGAUAACAGUUGGAAACGGCUGCUAAUACCGGCUAGUGGGGGGGGGCUCGAGUCCUAUCAGCAUGUUGGUGGGGUAGUGGCCUACCAAGGCGACGACGGGUAGCCGGCCUGAGAGGGGGACCGGCCACAUUGGGCUAGGAGACGGCCCAAACUCCUACGGUGGGCAGCGGUGGGGAAUAUUGCCCAAUCGGGUAAACCCUGUUGCAGCAACGCGCGUGUGGGAUGACGGCCUUCGGGUUGUAAACCGCUUUCAGCCAUGACGCGGUAGUGGCAGAAGAAGCACCGGCUAACUACGUGCCAGCAGCCGCGGUAAUAC